rnacentral:rRNA from 1 species
UAGGGAAUCUUCGGCAAUGGACGGAAGUCUGACCGAGCAACGCCGCGUGAGUGAAGAAGGUUUUCGGAUCGUAAAGCUCUGUCGUAAGAGAAGAACGAGUGUGAGAGUGGAAAGUUCACACUGUGACGGUAUCUUACCAGAAAGGGACGGCUAACUACGUGCCAGCAGCCGCGGUAAUACGUAGGUCCCGAGCGUUGUCCGGAUUUAUUGGGCGUAAAGCGAGCGCAGGCGGUUAGAUAAGUCUGAAGUUAAAGGCUGUGGCUUAACCAUAGUAGGCUUUGGAAACUGUUUAACUUGAGUGCAAGAGGGGAGAGUGGAAUUCCAUGUGUAGCGGUGAAAUGCGUAGAUAUAUGGAGGAACACCGGUGGCGAAAGCGGCUCUCUGGCUUGUAACUGACGCUGAGGCUCGAAAGCGUGGGGAGCAAACAGGAUUAGAUACCCUGGUAGUCCACGCUGUAAACGAUGAGUGCUAGGUGUUAGACCCUUUCCGGGGUUUAGUGCCGUAGCUAACGCAUUAAGCACUCCGCCUGGGGAGUACGACCGCAAGGUUG